GUGGGAGUCAGGGGGUAUUCACGCCUGUGCCGAGGUCUAGGGUUGCACCGUGCUGACUUCACACUCAGCAGCAUGUGCAGCUGAGGCCUCCGUGCAGCCGUCUCCUGCGAGGCGGGCAGCGAGGUCAGCUUGGCAGCCGCCGCCUCACCAGCCUGGAUCUGGCCGCAGGCAGCGGUUCCCUAGGACCCGAGGAAAGGAUGGCCGAACAAGAAGCUAGUGGGCUACAGGUCCUGCUGCACACGCUUCAGAGCUCCUCUGACAAGAAGUCUAUCCUGACCAUCCUCAAGGUCCUCGGAGAUCUGCUUUCUGUUGGCACAGACCGGAGAAUUCACUACAUGAUCAGCAAGGGUGGCAGUGAGGCUCUUCUGCAGACCCUGGUAGACACAGCGAGGACAGCUUCUCCAGACUAUGACAUCCUCCUGCCUCUCUUCCGGCUGCUGGCCAAAGUUGGCCUAAGAGAUAAAAAGAUUGGACAGAAGGCCCUGGAAUUGGAAGCACUUGAUGUGACAUUGAUUCUGGCCAGGAAGAACCUAUCCCAUGGCCAGAACCUCCUCCACUGUCUCUGGGCUCUGCGUGUGUUUGCCUCCAGUGUCUCCAUGGGAGCCAUGCUGGGAAUUAACGGAGCCAUGGAACUGCUUUUCAAGGUUAUUACUCCUUAUACCCAAAAGCGCACCCAAGCAAUCAGGUACAGAGUGCCAUGUAAUACUUUUGCCCUUUUUGUAACAGAUGGAGAGAUG
rnacentral:lncRNA from 1 species